AAUCAACGCUGGCGGCGUGCCUAACACAUGCAAGUCGAACGCGAAAGUCCCGCAAGGGGCAAGUAGAGUGGCGCACGGGUGAGUAACACGUGGAUAACCUGCCUUCGAGUGAGGAAUAACCUUCCGAAAGGAGGGCUAAUACCGCAUAACACCUUGAGACAAAAGUUUCGAGGUUAAAAGGAGCAAUUCGCUGGAAGAGGGGUCCGCGCCUGAUUAGCUAGUUGGUGAGGUAACGGCUCACCAAGGCUGUGAUCAGUAGCCGUCCUGAGAGGGAGCACGGCCACACUGGAACUGAGACACGGUCCAGACUCCUACGGGAGGCAGCAGUGGGGAAUUUUUGGCAAUGGGCGAAAGCCUGACCAAGCAACGCCGCGUGGGUGAUG
rnacentral:rRNA from 1 species